ACGCCUGCCCAGUGAACAAUUAAACGGCCGCGGUACCCUAACCGUGCAAAGGYAGYGUAAUCACCUGUCUAUUAAUUGUAGACCCGUAUGAAUGGCAAAAUGAGGGUUUAACUGUCUCUUAUGAUGAUUCAAUUAAACUGAUCUCCCAGUCCAAAAGCUGGGAUACCCCCAUAAGACCAGAAGACCCUGUGAAGCUUAAACUAAACUAUUAAAUCCAAUAAUAGCUCCUUUAGGUUGGGGCGACCUUGGAAAAAAAAARAACUUCCAAACUAAAUGACCUAUACCACAUCUCACUUAGGCCAACAAGCCUACAAUCGACCCAGCACAGCUGAAUAAUGAACCAAGUUACUCCAGGGAUAACAGCGCCAUCUUCUUCAARAGCCCAUAUCAAAAAGAAGGUUUACGACCUCGAUGUUGGAUCAGGACAUCCUAAUGGUGCAGCCGCUAUUAAGGGUUCGUUUGUUCAACGAUUAAUAGUCCCACGUGAUCUGAGUUCAGACCGGA
rnacentral:rRNA from 1 species